rnacentral:rRNA from 1 species
GUGCCAGCCGCCGCGGUAAUACGGAGGGAGCGAGCGUUGUCCGAAGUUACUGGGCGUAAAGCGCGCGUAGGCGGGGGAUUAAGUGAGAAGCGAAAGGCUGAGGCUCAACCUCAUGCAGUGCUUCUCAUACUGGUCCUCUUGAGGGUGGUAGAGAGAAGUGGAAUGGCUGGUGUAGCGGUGGAAUGCGUAGAGAUCCGGAAGAACACCGGUGGCGAAGGCGGUCUGCUGGGCAGUUGCUGACGCUGAGGCGCGAAAGCGUGGGGAGCGAACGGGAUUAGAUACCCUGGUAGUCCACGCCGUAAACGAUGAGUGCUAGGUGUUGGGGGGUACCACCCUCAGUGCCGAAGCUAACGCAUUAAGCACUCCGCCUGGGGAGUACGGUCGCAAGACUGAAACUCAAAUGGAAUUGACGG